rnacentral:tRNA from 1 species
GAUCUCGUAGCUCAGCUGGUAGAGCACUUCACUUUUAAUGAAGUGGUCCUGGGUUCGAAUCCCAGCGGGGUCA